GACGAACGCUGGCGGCGUGCCUAAUACAUGCAAGUCGAGCGAAGUCUUUCUGGUUCUUGCACUAGAAAAACUUAGCGGCGAACGGGUGAUUAACACGUAAAGAACCUGCCUCAUAGACUGGGACAACUAUUGGAAACGAUAGCUAAUACCGGAUAACAGUAUUUCUCGCAUGAGAGAUAUUUAAAAGUUGGUUAUGCUAACACUAUGAGAUGUCUUUGCGGUGCAUUAGCUAGUUGGUGGGGUAAAGGCCCACCAAGGCGACGAUGCAUAGCCGACCUGAGAGGGUGAUCGGCCACACUGGGACUGAGACACGGCCCAGACUCCUACGGGAGGCAGCAGUAGGGAAUCUUCCGCAAUGGGCGAAAGCCUGACGGAGCAACGCCGCGUGAGUGAAGAAGGAUUUCGGUUCGUAAAGCUCUGUUGUUAGGGAAGAAUGGAUAUGUAGUAACUCUACCUGUAAGAGACGGUACCUAACCAGAAAGCAACGGCUAACUACGUG
rnacentral:rRNA from 1 species